UGUCCGAUUCAUCUGAAAAUUUCAGGGCAGAUAGAUCUUGACCUGAUGAACAAUUUUACUAUGUCAGAUUUGCUCUAAAUGCUUUGGUUUUUGAGUUAUAACCCAAAAACUGCAUUUUACCCCUAUGUUCUAUUUUUAGCCAUGGCGGCCAUCUUGGUUGGUUGGCCGGGUCACCGGACACAUUUUUUAAACUAGAUACCCCAAUGAUGAUUAUGGCCAAGUUUGGUUAAAUUUGGCCCAGUAGUUUCAGAGAAGAAGAUUUUUCUAAAAGAUUACUAAGAUUUACGAAAAAUGGUUAAAAAUGACUAUAAAGGGCAAUAAUCCUAAAGUGGUCAA
rnacentral:lncRNA from 1 species